AGGAUAUCCUUUUCCUUCAGAGUCUCCAGAAAUUACAAGACAGGCUGCUUUCUUGGGGCCAUUCAUUAGGAGGCUGACAAGGAGGAAAAUUAAGCUGUGAACUGGAAUUCCAUCAGGCUGUCUACUGUGAAGCCCUGUGGCUUUAGCAAAGGGGCAGCAGUGGUCAGAAAUGACACUCAAAAGAGAGCUACAGUGAAACCCCACAGCAUUCCCCAGCUUCCAGAGAGCAGACAGCUUUGUGCUCUAAGUACCACGGUAGAAAUUCCCAGACACCCUGGAUACACAGUCAGCACCUAGCCAGGCUGACUCUGCCUUUGACCUCUCUGGGACUGUAUUCCCUACUUUAGGAGAAGGAUUGGCUUUUGGAUCCGAACAUGCAAGUAAGUGCUUGUUCUCUUCAUAUGGGUAUUGAAUAAUCCUUUCUGCCUUGCACAGA
rnacentral:lncRNA from 1 species